UAUAAUAAAAAAUUCUGUUAUUUUCUUAUAUAACAUGAGCAUUUUUCCAUUAUAUUAUAAACUUUGUAAACAUCAUCUGUUAACACUAUAUAAUAUUCUUCCCAGCAAAGAGAUUGUAAUUGACUUAAUAUAUUGCACAUUAUUUUUAUUUUUUUAAAUUUUUUGCCAUUAUAAAUAUCUUUGGCAUAAAGCUUUUUCAAGCAUCCCAGAAUUUAUCCAAAGUAAAAAAAAUUUUUUUUUUUUUUAAUUACUUACUAGAUGAAAGCAAAGAACUGACACUGUAACUGACUCUGACCUGUUGCCAUUGAGUUGAUUCUGACUCAUAGUGACUCCACAGGACAGAGUAGAACUGCCCUCUAGGGUUUCCAAGGCUGUAAUCUUUAGGGACACCAACUCUCACAUCUGUCUCCUGAGGAGCGGCUAGUGGAACUGAACACCAGGGCUCCUUAAGGCUCUGAAACCUACUGCCAAAUUGCUUUCCAAAGGGUGGUGUGUAUUUACACUCUCACCAGUAGUGCAUGAGGCCCUCCACAUUGUCACCCCCCACCGGCAAGAAUUAAUUGAAACCAAAAAUCACUACCAUCAGUAGCACAUCAGCGAUUUGAUAGGCAAGAAGUUUAAGCUCCAUAUGUUUGAUGGGAUUUUACACGUGUGUGUUAACACGUUUAUUUCCUCUUUGGUGAACUGUCUGUUCAUGUAUUUCACCUAUAUCAUUAUUGAGGUCUCAGUGCUUUUUAAAUCCGUUGCUGUUGAGUUGAUUCUGACUCAUAGCGACCCUACAGGACAGAGUAGAACUGCCCCAUAGGGUUUCCAAGGAGUGGCUGGUAGAUUCGAACUGCCAGUUUCGGGCUAUGGGGCAGUUCUAUUCUGUCCUAUAGGGCUGAUAUGAGUCGCAAUCGAGUUGACGGUAACGAGUGUGGUUUUUUGUUUUGUUUUGAAUGCUUGUUAUUAAUUCAUUGUAAGAACUCUUUUUUCUGUUGUGCACAUUUCCUUCAGUUUGUUUGCAGUUUUGGUAGACCAGCAUUUCCAAUUCUUCCAGUCCCUGCCCUUUCUCCUGCUCCACCUGGCCCUGGAGCAGUGGAGAGCUGGUCAGGGUGUUCUUUCCUCACUCCACACACUUUCCUUUGCUAUCUUCCUGACUUUGCGCCUGCAUCAUCGUCCACAGGGAGCUGCCUCCCUGGCCUGGAACACGCCUCUGGGCUUCAGUGCCCACCUGACAGCUUUGUCUGGAUGACUCAGCAGCACCUCGAACUUAACACGUUUAACCUGACACAUACCUUCCCCCCGUCCGCCGCUCUUCUGUAAAUGACACCACCAUCUACCUGGCUGCCCCACCAGAAGCUGGACAACAUCGUUGAUGCUCCCUAAUCAACCUUUACAAGUAUCCUGCCGGUCUGCUUCCUACCUGUCUCUAGAUCUGCUCUUUUCUCCAUCCUUACUGUAUGUAGUUAAAAAAACAAAAACAGAAACAAAAAAAACCCAGACCAGUCGCCAUUGAGUCAGUAUCAACUCGUGGAAGCCCCAUGUGUGUUGGAGCAGAACUGUGCUCUGUAGGGAUUUUACCGGCUGAUUUUUCAGAAGUAGGUGGCCCAGCUGUUCUUCUGGGUGGACUCAAACCUCCAACUUUUCAGUUAGUAGCCAAGUUUGUUAACGGCUGGCACCAGCCAGGGCUCCUCCACUGUCACUGCUCCUGUGGAAUUCUCUCUUGGAUUACUCAGUCUUUUCCCCAAAAACUUUCUUCAUAAAAUAUUUUUAAACAUGUAAAAGUGCAGAAAAUGUUAUCACAUACACCUAUGCGUCUACUACUCAAGUUUUAUAAAUGCUAACAUUAGCCUUUUGUAUCCAUCAAAUUAAAAAGAAAAUUAGCAUACUGUAGAAUUGAAACCCUCUUUACAACUCACUAAAUCCUGUCAUUCUUUUUCUCUCUCUCCGGGUAACUAACCACUAUUCUAAAGCUUGCAUGUAUCCUCAGGUCUACUUCUAGUGCUUUUGCUGCAUACAUAUAAGCCUGAAAAUAUAUAGCAUUUUGUGUUUAAAGUUUUAUAUAGUGGCACCAAAUGCCACAUCUGCCUGCAGCUUGCUUUUUUCACUUAUAUUUUACAUUUUCACUUAUAUUUUGAGGCUUAGCUCCGUUAGUACAGGUGGCUCCAGUUUAUUUUAAUUGCUGUAUAGAUUCCAUGGUCUGAACAUUCCAUGAUUCACUGAUUUGUCUCCCUAUUGGUGGACAGUUAGACUAUUUCCGUUUGGGGUGUGUGUGCAUUAUAAACCAUGCUUUCGCAAACCUCUUAACACACAUCUCCCUGGGCUGGUAUGUGAGUUCCACCAGCAAGUCCCAAGGAGCAGAGCUGCUGGGUGGACACGCCCUCAACAUGAUCAGACUCUGCUGUGUUGUCCUCCUGCUGCGUUUGAGGGGUGCUUUCCACUUCUCACCAACAAGGCACUGCUUCCUGCUGCUGCUGACUCGAUGGGUGUGAAUCACAGUUGACUGUGGUUUUAACUUCCACUUUCCUGUUUACCAGACAGACUGAGCAUCUCCUCUGUUUAUCUUUGUUUUGUUUCCCUGUUCUGCAAAUUCCCUAUUCUGUCAAUUGCCUAUUCACGUCCUUAGCCCUGACAAUAUAGUUUGUUGCCCUUUCCAAUUCAUUCUCCAUCCUUAGAGAGCCAUCUUCUAGAAAUGGAAGCUCUAGCCAGGCACCCUCCCUGUUAAAUAAUCCCUCGAUGUUUCAAAGCCUCAAAUUCAUUACACAGCCUCUUGCUUGAUCUGGCUCCUGCCUUCCCUGUUCAGCCUCCUUUCGGGCCACACAUCUUUUACACAUCUGGAUUCCAGAGAGACACUGCCUCAAAUGUGCCAGGCUCUUUGCUGCUUUAAGGCCUUGAGGCACAGUUUUCUCUACUUGUGCCCCGCGUCCCCUCCUGGACUCCAGUAAUUUUCAAGUCCCACCUAAAUGCCCCUUCUUCAGGGAAGCCAACUCCUUGGCCUGGGCACUGUGCUCCCAGCAGUCUCCCUGCUUCAAGCCCUCAUUCUCCCUCUAGCCCUGGCUCUAGGUCUUUGUCCCUAGGACCCCAUUCACCUUGUGUCCAGCUCUAUCUCCAGUGCUUGGCAAUGUCAGGUGCAUGAAUGUCGACUGAGGAAGACAAUGAGGGUCUGAGAGUUCACAUGACUGGCAUAAGGCCACACGACUGGCUUAUGCCACAUGACAGCUCCACAGGGUUGAAUAAAAGAAGAUGCCUCUGGACCAGGGUCCUCUCCUUUCUGAGUGGGGUGAGGAGGAGGCCAAGCAGACAGAGAGCCCAGGUGCCCACACUCACUUCAAUCCUUAAAAAAAAAAAGCAAUCCCACCUUUCAUCUGCUUUAUAUAAUGGAGUUUUGUGUAAGGUUUUGUUUGGAGAAAGUGUUGUUGCUAAGAGUUUUUUGGAAACCACUGUUUCGGGGCAAGAUUGGCUGCCGACACCCUUCUGUUCACUGUAUGCUUCCAGCCAGUGACACAGUUUACUGAGGGACAGGUUCUUCCUGGUGCAGCUUUGUGUUCUACAGCCCAACGUCUGCCGAACAAGUGGACCUGGAGUUGAGGGUGGUUGUCUCCACUGCGCAGAGGAAAGUGAGCUCAUGGAGAUUCUGGAAGGGUCCUCCUUUGUCUUCAGAAUAUCGCUUCCUCCAAGUAGAGCAUAGACAGGGCAGGAGUAAGGCAUGGGACACAGCUUCAGCUGACAACAGGAAGCAUUGGGAAGAGAGUAUCUUAGCAAACAUGUGAUAUGGCUGUGAGCAAUGAGGAUGGUGUUUACUUGCAUUGAGGAGGAGGGAGAGGAUGGAGUCCAGAGCAAACUCCUGAUGCUCCUGUUUACUGGGUGUUCCCCAUAUCCCAGGCAUCGUGCUGGGUGCUUGUCGCUCAUUAUCGAUAUAUUCUUGCAACCAAUCAAAAAGUGGGCUUUAAGAUUAGGAAGGAGUGACUGGGUGGUAGGAGCCCUGGUGGCGCAGUGCUUAAGAGCUCUGGUGCUAACCAAAAGGUUGGCAAUUCGAGUCCACCAGCCUCGGUGGUGCAAAUGGUUGACUUGCUCACCUGCUAAACAAUUUAUCUGUGGAAGGCCCUCCCUACUGUCUUCUGCUUUCUCCCCUUUUUUUUUUUUCACCUUUAAGGCCUUUCCCCCAAUAACUAUCCUGCAUGUCUAACCCAUCUCAAUGUCUAUUUCUUGGAGGUCCUGAAUCCACACACGUGGUAACGGCAGUGGUCCAAGAAAACAAGAUGGGGUUGAGGACUGGGUGACUCACCACCCAGGGAGCAAAGAGGGCACUAUCCUGAGUGAGAUGCUCUGGGACAUGAUUGCUCAUGGUGGUAGACCUAUUGCUGAAGAUUUCACCAGCAGUGGUCGGGGAAGAAUGUCCUGGUGGUGGAGAAUACCCUUAUAGAAGCGAUGCCUUAGGCAGUUGAGAGAUAAGGGAAGCACAAUGCCUACAAGGACAGUGGAGUUCACUGGUUACUGCUCAGCUGUUUCGACACCUUGCAGAGUGAUAAUAGAAACACGGGCCCUCACUGCUGGUGGUCUGGAAAGACAACAGCGAUCUCUGACCUCAUUAGCCAAGGUGCCAUUAGAUAACCAAAUAGCUUUAGAUUUUUUAUUAGUCCAAGAAGGUGAAGUCUGUGCCAUAGCAAAUACCUCUUGUUGCAUUUGAAUAGAUAACACAGGAGAAGUAGAACAGGAUAUACACAGAAUAGACAGCAAGCUACUUGGUUACACACUGUUAACACCCUUACAAACACUAGAUUUAUUUGGUUGGUUUCCAUCAGGAAUAAGUAUAUGGGCCAGAUCACUAUCACAAGGAGUAGUAAUAUUCUUAAUCUGCAUCCUGAUGGUGUUAAAAACCAAAAACCCAUUGCCCUCUGUCAAUUCCAACUCAUAGUGACCCUGUAGGACCGAGUAGAACUGCUCCAUGAGGUUUCCAAGGAGCAGCUGGUGGAUUCAAACUACUGACCUUUUGAUUAGCAGCUGAGCUCUUAACCACUGGGCCACCAGGGCUCCCUUAUAGUGUUAGGCAUCAUAAAACUUAUCUUCCAUUGUCUUACAUGCUUAAAAUGCAGAAGAAGACCUCAGGUUAAAAUCUUGAUGUACAUUGAGUCUGCUCAUAUCGGCAAUGCAAUUGAUGAGAAUGUUGCUCUUACUUAAGAUCCUGGUGAAGAACCAGAUGAUAUCUGGUGGAAAACCAGCAAUGUCAGUUUAAAGAGCCUGCCGUGGCUGCCAUCUAGGAGCCCGAUGUGUUAUCUCCAAUCUCUGAUCAAAAGGAGGGAAUGGUUUAAGAGACAAUAUUGGACCCAUUAUUCCUUGUCCUUAAGCAUAAAAAAUGUGACCCAGCUGGAGCUGGACUCACAAGAACCCACAAUGAUUCACAAGGACACAUCAACUGGACCCCGAGGUAAAAAGACAAGACCCUGAGGUAAAAAGACAAUAGCUAGGACAAUCUUGAAAAACAUCUUUGAAGAAGCUUUCACAUAAACUAAUCAUAAACAGCACGAAAGAUCCACAUACUUUCCACUCUUAUCUUUUUUAUUAGCAUUUAGUGAACAGUAAGAUUUGUUGGCCCAGUGAAGACUCUCCUUACUGUCGUUACUGAAACCUGUACCAAUGAUUAUUAAGAAAGACAAUUCAAAAUGUAGACUCACAGUGAUUUGGCAGUUUUUAGCCAACCUGGAAAAAGGUGAAUCUUUCAAUGGCUUUGCUCAUUUGUAAUGUUAAUAUAUACUGAUAUUUCUAUAAUAUUCCUUGGACUUGGACAGACAUGGCUCUGGCAGCAUGCUUGUCCAUUUCCUACUUUUGCCUCUUUGAACGUAUGCUGAAUGAAACCUUUUUUUUGCUUUGCUGUAUGUAUAGGCUCUUAAUGAGAUGUUAAAGCUAGGUGUAAAGCUAGAGCUUCUUUGGUAGCUUACAAAGAGGUCUUCGUUUCCUGAAGUAGAGGAGCUGACACGGCUGAACGGUGGACUGAGGACCUGAUAGACUCACAGAGCUCCAGAGAUGUCAAAUGCUCAGCCAAGGCAGGUCGGUUCUGCUAAGCUCUGCCCAUUGCUCUCGUUGGGAAAACAUGGCCCACAAACAUGAAUGGGGACAUCUGAAUGGACAUUCCUGAGGUCAUUGCCUCUGCAGAUCCCCCGAAUUCUGAAAGCUUGCAGUCGUGGCCCACCCUUCCCAGGUAAGAUCUAGAGUGUCACUUGUGCUGAAAGACACAGCAGACACCUCUCUCCUGAAAGACAGCAUGGGCCCCCUCAGGAGCUGCCCUAACCUCUACUCUUGGCUGCUAGGCUGACAAACCAAAACCAAAAACCAAAAAGAGAAACCCACCAAACCAGUUGCCGUCAAGUUGAUUCUGACACCCUGGAGUGGCACAAACAGAUGGUAAAGGAGGGACUGAAGAGACUGAGGAGAGUGGUCAUGUUGGAAAGCAUAUCUUAUGUGAAGCCAGAAGGCCCACCAGAGGAUUAUGUCCCAUGAACGGGCCAGAAGUUGUGUCAAGGCCAUCAGGAAUGCACUUGUGAUGCACCAGCACCAUUAGGAAGUUCAGUGGUGGCUUUUCUCUGUAGCCCAGGGGUGACGGUAGAAGACAUGGUCACAGACCUGGGCUCCUUGAUAUUCAUGCCCCAUCCCCACAAAGCAAUGGAGUCUGGGUGGCAGCACUUAACCACCAGGAACAAGGAGACUGCAGUUACCAUAGUGACCAGCACCCUGGGAGGGGCAGCCAAGCAGGCUUGGCCAGCAUGGAGCUGUGGAGAUAUUAGAGCAUGGUGGUCCUAGAAGCAAAAUAACCCAGAAGACAAUAGGAGUGCUACUUAACAUCUACAACCAGAAAAAGGCAAACUGGAGGAACAGAAAGCUAAGGGCAGUGGCCCAAAUAAAAAUUUAUGAUCUUUUUCUCAGUUCCUGGUCCACAGCCUAUUUUCAGAUCUGAAAUCCAUUAACUGAGGAGAUGGCCACAUCCCUAGGAAGAAGGAUCCUGCAACAUGACCGCAAAUAUACACCGUAAUUCCCCCAGUCCUUGCCUGAAGGGAACUAUGGCCGUUUGCUUAGGUGACUGUACACUAGGAAAGGACACUAUGCAGACAUUCUAAGGACUAUUGGACAUAAAGUCUAAAGUGACGUUGAUACCAAUGACCCAAAGUGUCAUCCUGUUAGAGAGGUAAUAAAUGAGUCCUGGCUAAUGUCUAGGCUUACAGGGUCCAUGGAUCUACCCAGUAACCAUUUCCACAGUCCUCGAGUGUAAAAUUGGAACUGAUAUUCUUGGCAGUUGUAGUAACCCCUGUAUUGGGUCCUUGGCCUGUGGGACCUCCCCUUCCCCACUCCCUGCCAAGAAAGUAAAUAAAAAACAAUUUUGAAUCCCGGAGGAAAUGGUGGAGAUCAGUAACACUAUUAAAGACCUACAGAAUGCAAAGGUGUGCUCCCUACAAUAUCGCCAUUUAAUUCACCAGUCUGGCCUCUGUAGAAACCAGAUGGGUCCUGAAAAAUGACUGUAGACUACUGCAAACUCAAACAUAUCAUAGCCCUGAUUUCCCCUGUUGUAUCAGAUACAAUAUUGUUGUUAAUAAGGCCUCAAGUACAUGGUAGGUAUCCAUUGAGUUGGCAAAUGUAUUUUUUUCUGUUCUGAUUGGAAAAGGAGGAUCAGAAACAAUUUGCAGUCAUACUGGAUGGAUAGCAUAUUCAUUUACAGUUUUGCCUCAGGGCUGUGUUAAUUCUACUGCCUUCUGUCAUGAUCUAGUCCAAAGAGAUCUUAACAGCCUAUACAUCACACAGAACAUCACGCUGACCCAUUACGUUACUAUCAUGCUGAUCAGAUAGGAAGAGCAAGAGGUGACUAGAAAGCGGAGGUCUUAGUAAGAUAUACUACGCCCACCUGAAGGAAAUAAACCCUAUGAAGAUUCAGGGACUGACCACUUCAGUGAAGCUUUCAGAGGUUCAAUGGUCAGAGACAUGCCAAAAUAUCUCCUUCAAAAUAAAAAAAUAAGUUGCUGUGUCUUGCAUCAUUGACCAUAAAGAAGAAAACACAGUGCCUGAUAGGCCUCUUUGUGUUCUGAAGGCAACACAUCCCACGCCUAGGAAUACUCCUCCAGCCCCCCCUACCAGGUGACAUGAAAGGCUGUCACCUUUGAGUGGGGUUAGGAGCAGGAAAGAGCUCUGGUCCAGGCUGCUGUAAAAGCAACACUUGAGAUAGUAAGAUCCAUCAGACCCUAUGGUGUUGAAGGUGUCAGUGGUAAAAAUGAUGCAGGGUAGAGCUUAUGGCGAGCCCCACAGAAGCACAACAGAGACCCCUGGACUUUGGAAUAAGGCCAUGCUAUCUACAGCAGAGAAUUAUAUUCCUUUUGGGAAAUAAUUCCUGGCAUGUCACUGGACCUUGAUCAUGGGGCAACAAGUGACCACACAUCUAGAAUGGCCCAUCAGGAGCUAGGUUGUGUCAGACCUGUCAAGUCUUAAUUCACUUUAAGAUGGAUAUGGUGCAUCCAGGAUCAAGUCCAAGCAGAGCCAGAGGACAUGAACAAGUAGCCCAAACCCCAUGUCACGACUAGUUCAUACCUAUGGCUCUUGGUGGGGGGUUCCUAUAUAACCAGUGAAGGAAGAGGAUAAAAUCCAAGCUUGGUUUAUGGAUGGAUCAGCUAGGUAUGUGGGUGCAAGUUGAAAAUGUAUGGGGGUUACAUUAUAGCUACUCUCAGGGUUGGUCUUGAAAGACAGCGGAGAGAAAAAUCUUCCCAAUGGUGGAACUGGGAGCAGUGCAUCUGGUCAUCACUGUGAGUGGAAGGAGUGGUCCAAGGUGAAGAUACAUACAGAUUCCUGGGCUGUGGCCAAUCGUCUGACUGGAAGGUGGGAGACAAGGAGGUCUGGGAUAGAGUCAUAGGAUGGACUUAUGGGGUUGGGCAUGAAGUAUAAAAAUAUUUGCAACACACAUGAUGUCUGCCAGAAAGUACACACUAUUAAAGAGGCAUUGAACAACCAAGUAGACAAAAUGACUUGGCCAGUUAACAUUAGCCACACUCUGUUGUUGGCCCCCUAGAACUGGUAUGAUGGGCACAUGAGUGGGGUGGCCAUGAUGGUGGUGACAGACGUUUGAUAUGUGCCUAACAUGGACUCUCACUAGGGUUAAUCUAGCUACUACUGUCUCUGACUUUCCAUCCUGCCUGCUACAGAGACCAACGCAGAGCCUCUGAUACAGUACAAUUCCCAGAGAACAACAACUGACUUCUUGGUAGCAAUUCAACAACAUUUGGUUUGUUCUGUUCUGGAAGGGCCAAUGGUUCUUCCUCACAAGGAUAGAUACCUAUUCUUGGUAUGAGUUUGUCUUUCCCGUCCAUAGAGCCUCAGCCAGUACCACUAUCUGGGGGCUUCCUGAAUGCUCGAUAUUAGGCACAAAACCCAACACAGCACAGUUAUAUGACAAGGGGGUCCACUUUACAGUGAAAGAGGUGCAGGAGUGGGUCAUUGAUCAUGAGAUCCAUUGUUCACAUCACAUUCUGCCCCAUCCAGAAGCAGCUGGCUUCAUAGAACUCUGCAGCAGCCUUCUAAAGGCACAGAUGAGGUGCCAGAAUAGAGGUUAACAUUUUCAAAAGAUGGAAUGCCAUCUUUCAGGAAGCAGUUUAGAUAUUAAGCCAGAAAUCUCUAUAUGGUGCUGGGUUCCCAGUAAGAAUACAUGGGCUAGGAACCAAGAGGCGGAAGCAGGAGUGGCUCCAUUUGCCACCAUCCCAGUGCCUCACUGGGGGAUAUUGUGCAUCUCUCCCCUGCAGCUUUUGGCUCUGCAGGGUUCUAGGUCCUAGCUCUCAAAAAGGGUGCACUCAUGCCAGAGUCCACAGCAAGGGUCUCAUUGAAUUACACACUACCUUUGCUGCCAGGGCACUUUGACUCCUUGUGUCCAAGGGCUAGCAGGAAAGAAGAGGAGUCUCUGCCAUGGCAGGUGCAAUUUGUCCUGAACAACAGGAGAAGAUAGACCAAAACCCAAACCCAUUGCUCUUGGGUCAAUUCUGACUCGUAAUGACACUGUAGUCAGAGUAGAACUGCCCCAUACAGUUUCCAAGGAGUGGCUGGUGAAUUCAAACUGCCAGUCUUUUGGUUAGCAGCCAUAGCUGUUAACCACUGCACCACUAGGGUUCUGGGGGAGGUAGGACAGCUUUUACAAAAUGGGGCCAGGGAGGAAUAUGUGGAGAACCCAGGUGACCCACCUGGCCACCUCUUGGUACUCUUGGCUCACUGUAACCACGAAUGGACAUGUGCAACCACCCUGGGCUGUGAUGGGUAUGCUUGCCAAGGACUCGGAACCCUCAGGAAAGAAAGGUCGGGGUCACACCACCAGGUUAGCCAUCAAGUCCUGCUGAGGUGACAACUGAGAGAGCGGGGAUUUAGAAUGGAUAAUGGAGGAGGGAGAGGAUGAGUACCAGCGGGGGCCUUGAGACCAACUUUGGCAACAGGAGCUGUAGUUUGUCCCACUAGCCUUUCAGGAAGGGAGGUUUACGGGAGCUAUGGAGAAGCUGCUUCCCAUACCUACAUGAAAAAGUAAGUAAAGCAGACCUGGGAGGCACAAGGGAUGAACCAGCAGCCUUGAAAAUGCAAGUUCAGAUGUCCCGCUGAGGGGAGUGUGGUUGACUGAUGGCCCCAGCUGCUGCCCAUGUUUGUGCCGAGGUUCCUUACAGGCUGUUUCCAGCCAUUGGCUGAGCAAGUGGGGUACCAAAUCAGGCCCAUUCCUGUGAGAUACUGGACUCCUCAGACAGGCAACUUUGACUCGAUGACACCCCAAUGGCUGAAGCUUUCUUAGAACUCGCCUGUAGUCUAGACUGCUGACACACGUCUUCCUUCCUCUUUCCUUCACAGGGCCAGACCUGCCUUGUACUCUGAAGGUGCUCCCCACUCUCUUCCAACUCCUCCCUCAAUAGUUCACAAGCAUUUCCCCCAAUGAACCUCUUGCAUCUCUAAUCCAGUCUUGGGGAAUGCGAACUAAUGGAUGCUGUUUGGAUUGAAGAGCUCUACUGUUGAGCCAUUUCUCAAGAGGGUGAGGGUACAUAAAAAAGUUUUAAAACAUUAGACUAAAAGGCAGUCUUUAAAAUGAAGUCAAUCUAGAUUUAUGAAAAUUUAGUACCUUGUCCUCAUUUUUCUUGCUUUGCUACAGAUUACUGAAAAAAGAUCAGUUAUAGACGGUAGACUGGGAAUCAUUUGCAGCCUGGCAUUUGGGAACCACGGGUAUGAAAAAAUCACCCCCCUGGUUUCCCCCACCGUAGUUGCAUUCUUUCCAGUGAGAUCCCCUUGUACUAGGUUUGCAUUUGUAUUAUGGGAUGGGUCUUAUUACCAGAUGCCUUUGAGUCAGUUCUGAUUCAUGGUGACCCCAUGUGUGUCAGAGUAGAACUGUGCUCCAUUGGGUUUUCAAUGGCUGAUUUUUCAGAAGUAGAUCACCGGGGCUUUCUACCAAAAUGCCUCUGGGUGGACUCAAACCACUAAUCAUUUGGUUAGAAGCUGAGCAUCUCAACUGUUUGCACCACCCAGGGAUUCCUGGGAAGGGUCUUAUUCAAGUUUCAAUGCCCUAACACACUAACAUAAUGGUCGGUAAAUGCCUAUUGUAAAAGGGACUUCAUUCUCAUGGAACGAUGUGGAUGCAGUGAGCCCCCUCUGGCUCAGGAUCCCCCCACCCCCACCCCAGGGAGUUGUUGCUGCCUCAGCGUGGUGCUCAUUUCCUGUGAUCAGUAGUCAGGUGCUCUGAAGUCUGAUGGACCACGUUGGUGCUGUCUUUUGGAAUUAAUCAAACCUUUAAUACCCUGCUUUAAUAGUUUAUUUUUAACUAUGGAAAUACCAGCCUUGUAAGAAAAUAUUUCUGAAGGGAAAACUAAAAACAGCUUAAACUUUUCUCUGUAAAGUUUUUCCGGGUGAGCAAUGUUUUCAACUUAGAAUGCUCCCUUGUAAUUAUGCCUCUGUCUGUAUUUGUGCUUUCCUUUUGCUUGACUUCUAUUCUGUUUACUCAGCAGUUAAGAGCCAUGCCACAUAGCGAUCAGCUGACAGAAAGACAUUGUCAUGAUGUGCUUGUUGUUGUUAGGUGCCCUUGAGUUUCAGUUCCAACUCAUGGCGAUGCUAUAUACAACAGAACAAAACACUGCCCAGGUCCUGUGCCAUUCUCACAAUCGUUGCUAUGUUUGAGCCCAUUGUUGCAGCCACCGUGUCAGUUCAUCUCCUUGGGGGCCUUCCUCUUUUCCGCUGGCCCUCCACUUUACCAAGCAUGAUAUCCUCCUCCAGGGACUAGUCCCUCCUGAUAACGUGUCCAAAGUAUGAGAGACGAAGUCUCGCCGUCCUAGCCCUGAAGGAGGAUUCUGGCUGUACUUCUUUCAAGAGAGGUUUGUUCUUUCUUCUGGCAGUCAUUGGGAUGGUCAGUAUUCUUCACCAACAGCAUAAGUCAAAUGCAUCAAUUCUUCUUUGGUCUUCCUUAUUCAUUGUCCAGGGAAACCCUGGUGGUGUAAUGGUGAAGUGCUAUAGCUGCUAACCAAAGGUUGGCAGUUCGAAUCCACCAGACCCUCCUUGGAAACCCUACGGGGCAGUUCUACUCUGUCCUGUAGAGUCGCUAUGAGCCGGAAUC